rnacentral:rRNA from 1 species
UACAGAGGGGGCAAGCGUUAUUCGGAAUUAUUGGGCGUAAAGGGCGCGUAGGCGGCCUGGCAAGUGGAAGGUGAAAUCCCUCGGCUUAACCGAGGAACUGCCCUCCAAACUGCUUGGCUUGAGUCCGGGAGAGGUGAGUGGAAUUCCCAGUGUAGCGGUGAAAAUGCGUAGAUAUUGGGAGGAACACCAGUGGCGAAGGCGGCUCACUGGACCGGAACUGACGCUGAGGCGCGAAAAGCGUGGGGGAGCAAAAC